AUUGAACGCUGGCGGCAGGCCUAACACAUGCAAGUCGAACGGUAACAGGAAGAAGCUUGCUUCUUUGCUGACGAGUGGCGGACGGGUGAGUAAUGUCUGGGAAACUGCCUGAUGGAGGGGGAUAACUACUGGAAACGGUAGCUAAUACCGCAUAACGUCGCAAGACCAAAGAGGGGGACCUUCGGGCCUCUUGCCAUCGGAUGUGCCCAGAUGGGAUUAGCUAGUAGGUGGGGUAACGGCUCACCUAGGCGACGAUCCCUAGCUGGUCUGAGAGGAUGACCAGCCACACUGGAACUGAGACACGGUCCAGACUCCUACGGGAGGCAGCAGUGGGGAAUAUUGCACAAUGGGCGCAAGCCUGAUGCAGCCAUGCCGCGUGUAUGAAGAAGGCCUUGGGGUUGUAAAGUACUUUCAGCGGGGAGGAAGGGAGUAAAGUUAAUACCUUUGCUCAUUGACGUUACCCGCAGAAGAAGCACCGGCUAACUCCGUG
rnacentral:rRNA from 1 species